GCUCGUUCGGUAGACGAAUGUCCGUUUCGUACACGUAAUUAUCAAACACUAACAAGGAGAUGCCACGAAUCUCUGGAUCGUUUUCCGAAUGAGUCGUGGCUUGUUCGGUGGCUUGUGUGUGGAUGAUAGAAGCCCUAAGGGGGUUUGAGUGGGUGGGCCUUUGUUUGCGAGAAAUUUGGGUGCAGGGUUGGGUUUGUUCAGCGAUACAGAAUAUAUACGUUAAAUGUAACAUUUUUCCACGUCUGUCGGCGUGGCGGAGUUGGUUAGGGAGCUUGUUUCGCGGAUAUGAUGAGAUCGCGGGUUCGCGUCUCGUUAUUCCAUGUUUUUUUUUUUUUUUGAAUAUUUUGUUUUGGUCGUUUUGGG
rnacentral:lncRNA from 1 species